rnacentral:misc_RNA from 1 species
CCGAAAUAGAUUGCGAGGUAGACUUGAAUGAAUAUCAGGAGCUUUUGGAGUGAGAAAUAAGCCUUGAUCCGAUUGAAUAAAAGACUCACCAAAAUUAAGGGAAUCAAAAUGAAUGCGAAGGAGGUUAGAGAAGCAAUGGUGGAGGCGUAUUUGUUACCCACGAUGGGUUUGAAUCCCAUUGUCAUUUGUUUGUUAGCUUUCGUAAUGUAUGCCUUGGAAGUAGUGGAGAUCCUCGCCAGGUCUGGGAUCAAAGUUUUCUGAAAUUUCGUGGGUAGAUCUCGAAACUCCGAGACCAAAUCGUCGUCUUCAUCAUCGUCAACCCAACUGGGUUUUUUUGGCCUGUGCUUGUUUCUUGGGUUUUUCCUCAUUCUGUUUCUUCUCUGAUUUCUGCUCCUUGUUUGGUUUGUCGAGAUGGGUGGUUUGGGAUUGUUUUGAGGAAUUGGGUGUCGUCGUUUUGUUCUUGUGUGUGCUUAAUUUGACUAGAUCUGAGGAUUUCUUAGCGGAGACUGAAGUAAUUUUGGUAGAAUUGGAGGAUUUCGAUGUGGAAUUGAGCUUCUUGAGCCCAACCUUGGAAAGGAUGCCGCCGGAAGUCAGUUUGGUGGAAUUGGUAGCCUUACCAAGCGUAGUCUUGUUCUUGGUCGACAAAUUGUUCUUAAUGAGCUUGGUCUGGUUUUUUGAGGAUUGGGUGGGAGCUUUAAUGAGCUUGUUCUGAGUUUUGGUGAGUAAGGCAUCACUGGACUUCUUCUUCUUCGGUUCAUCCUCUUCCACCGACUCCAAAAUUCUUCUUCCUCUUCGAAACAAUUCUCCAUUUCGAGAAUCAGAUUCGGCGCACACACAUAAGAGAAAAGCGGCAGCAAAAAGGACCAAAACAAGAAAGAGCAGAAAUACCUUUGUGGCUCUGAAAUUCCCAACUCGAGCCAUUUCUGAAAUCUGGGUUCUCUCCUCUGCAAGAGUAGAUUAAGCUUCAAACAUAAAUUAGAGAGAGUAUUUGCAUUGAAUUGGGAUGGAGAAUUUGAAGAGUGAGUGAAGUAGAAGGAAGUGGGAAGAGAGGGAGUAUUUCAAUGCAAAAGGGUGGGGAAGAGG